GAUGAACGCUGGCGGCGUGCCUAAUACAUGCAAGUCGAGCGAAUGGAUUAAGAGCUUGCUCUUAUGAAGUUAGCGGCGGACGGGUGAGUAACACGUGGGUAACCUGCCCAUAAGACUGGGAUAACUCCGGGAAACCGGGGCUAAUACCGGAUAACAUUUUGAACCGCAUGGUUCGAAAUUGAAAGGCGGCUUCGGCUGUCACUUAUGGAUGGACCCGCGUCGCAUUAGAUAGUUGGUGAGGUAACGGCUCACCAAGGCAACGAUGCGUAGCCGACCUGAGAGGGUGAUCGGCCACACUGGGACUGAGACACGGCCCAGACUCCUACGGGAGGCAGCAGUAGGGAAUCUUCCGCAAUGGACGAAAGUCUGACGGAGCAACGCCGCGUGAGUGAUGAAGGCUUUCGGGUCGUAAAACUCUGUUGUUAGGGAAGAACAAGUGCUAGUUGAAUAAGCUGGCACCUUGACGGUACCUAACCAGAAAGCCACGGCUAACUACGAGCCAGCAGCCGCCGUAA
rnacentral:rRNA from 1 species